AAUGUCAGAUUCAUCUCCUUAGAAUGCUACCGACCUUCAAAGACCAUUUUAAACGAGGCUUUCGGUCCCAGCCUCCUGUACUUUCAGAGUAGGGUUCUGGCAUCUUGCUUACCCCACCCACGUUAUCCUAUUUAGUUAUUUUGGAACAAAUUCAAAGGUUUUCCUCCCCGAUUCCCCCUUCAGGGCUCAGGAACCCAUAGCCCUGCUGUUGGAAACAUUGACAACAAUUGGCAUCAGCUGCUGGGAGCUGCCUCUCCCAAGAUUUCGUCCCUCCCAGAUGGUAGCCCCGGGCCAACGACUGGAUACUGAAGUUUCCUUGCCUCAGCUGGGGACAAUGCCGAAGAAUUAAACCAGCUCCGGAGUCCCCCACACAACUGCAGGACAGGCCAAGGCUUCGGCUGCAACUUAUGAGUGUUUUCAUGGAAUGUCAUUGCUCAAGCCGUAGUGAACCCCUAGAAUGGGACACAAUUUACCUCUUGGGGAAAGUGUAAUCCCAAGCAUGAAGUGAAUCCAGCCUCCAACCUCUGAGGAUUGGUCCUCAUCCUCACCUGCGGGAAAAUCAGACGCAUGAGAAUCUGCAUAUUAUGCAAAAGAUGAUGAAACUGAGGUUUGGAGAGGUAAAGCCAUAUUUUACAGGACUCUGUCACAGGCUGGGAGAGGAGCUUGGAACUGGAAUCCAGUUCAUCUGAUCCAGUGAUUUUGAACUUUACCAUGUUUACUACAGAAUAAUUAAGGGAUACUGUUCAAUAAAGUAAACCUCAAGUGAAAUAACUCAUCAUGCAGCCAUUUUUCAAGGAAAUGUACCAGAGAAUCUGUAUCAGAAUUGACCUUGGAAACAUCCAGUUCAACAUCCUAGUAUUUCAGGAAUCCCCUUAGAGUUCACAGGUAAAGAGUAUAUUAGAAUAAUGCCAGCUGCUAUAAUGAAACAACCCACAAAGUUUAAUGGCUGAACAGAAUUAAAGUUUACUUCUCAUUUAACAAUAUAAGUAUGACUAAUUGGGGGCAGUCUUCCACAAGGUAACUCGGAUACCCAGACUCCUUGGAUCUGAUGGCCUCCCUACUGUAGGGUCAUCUAUGUGCCGGAGGAGGAUGAGGGAAAGAAGAAACAGAAAAGACAUCUUAAUCUUGGUCUUGAGAGAAUAUGCCUUACCUCCUCUCACAUUCCAUUGGUUAGAGCCCUUCAUAUGGGGGCGCCUGAGCAUCUCA